rnacentral:rRNA from 1 species
CCUACGGGUGGCAGCAGUGAGGAAUAUUGGUCAAUGGCCGAAAGGCUGAACCAGCCAAGUCGCGUGAAGGAAGAAUGUCCUAUGGUUUGUAAACCUCUUUUAUCAGGGAGCAAAGGUCGCCACGCGUGGCUUUCCGCGAGUACCCUAAGAAUAAGCAUCGGCUAACUCCGUGCCAGCAGCCGCGGUAAUACGGAGGAUGCGAGCGUUAUCCGGAUUUAUGGGGUUUAAAGGGUGCGUAGGUGGAAGAUCAAGUCAGCGGUAAAAUUUAGAGGCUCAACCUCUAAGAGCCGUUGAAACUGGAUGUCUUGAGUGUGCGAGAGGUAUGCGGAAUGCGUGGUGUAGCGGUGAAAUGCAUAGAUAUCACGCAGAACUCCGAUUGCGAAGGCAGCAUACCGGCGCUCAACUGACGCUGAUGCACGAAAGUGUGGGGAUCGAACAGGAUUAGAUACCCUGGUAGUC